CCUUCGGGUGCGAGUAAAGUGGCGGACGGGUGAGUAACGCGUGGGAAUCUGCCUAGUAGUGGGGGAUAACAAUCGGAAACGGUUGCUAAUACCGCAUACGCCCUACGGGGGAAAGGCUUCGGCCGCUAUUAGAUGAGCCCGCGUAAGAUUAGCUUGUUGGUGGGGUAAUGGCCUACCAAGGCAACGAUCUUUAGCUGGUCUGAGAGGACGAUCAGCCACACUGGGACUGAGACACGGCCCAG
rnacentral:rRNA from 1 species